rnacentral:rRNA from 1 species
UACGGAGGUGGCAAGCGUUGCUCGGAAUCACUGGGCGUAAAGGGCGCGUAGGCGGGGAGGUAAGUCGGGUGUGAAAUCCCUCGGCCCAACCGAGGAACUGCGCCCGAGACUGCUUCUCUUGAGUCCCGGAGAGGAAGAUGGAAUUCCCGGUGUAGCGGUGAAAUGUGUAGAGAUCGGGAGGAACACCGGUGGCGAAGGCGGCUUUCUGGACAGAUACCGACGCUGAGGCACGAAAGCUAGGGGAGCAAACAGG